UACUCCGCCGUAUCGUGCUGGAUGAGAACCUGCGUUCAGGUUCGAGCCGAGCGAAGCGAGACGACAACGCACAGCGUUGCCCGCAGGGCGAGGCCCAAGGCCGAGUCAAUCCUGCACGACCCACCA
rnacentral:sRNA from 1 species